GGCUCAGGAUGAACGCUAGCUACAGGCUUAACACAUGCAAGUCAGGGGGCAGCACAGUGUAGCAAUACAUGGGUGGCGACCGGCGCAAGGGUGCGUAACGCGUGAGCAACUUGCCCGUUUCAGGGGGAUAACCGGUGGAAACGCCGACUAAUACCCCAUAGUAUUGCGAGAAGGCAUCUUUUUGCAAUUAAAGAAUUUCGGAAACGGAUAGGCUCGCGUGACAUUAGCUAGAUGGUGAGGUAACGGCUCACCAUGGCGACGAUGUCUAGGGGUUCUGAGAGGAAGGUCCCCCACACUGGAACUGAGACACGGUCCAGACUCCUACGGGAGGCAGCAGUGAGGAAUAUUGGUCAAUGGUCGAAGGACUGAACCAGCCAUGCCGCGUGAAGGUGACGGCCCUAUGGGUCUUAAACUUCUUUUGUAAGGGAGCAAUAAGAUCUACGUGUAGAUUGAUGAGAGUACCUUACGAAUAAGCAUCGGCUAACUCCGUG
rnacentral:rRNA from 1 species